rnacentral:lncRNA from 1 species
AGCUUCAUCCGGACUCCUACGGGAGCCGGACUUCGCACCUAACUUUAAUUGCAGGGGACUCCGCCCGGACUCCUACGGGAGCCGGGCUCCGCCCACGACUUCAACUCCGAGAGGACUCCGCCCGGACUCCCACGGGAGCCGGGCUCCGCCCAUGACUCUGACCUCAAGGAGGACUCUGCCCGGACUCCUACGGGAGCUGGGCUCCGUCGCCAACUUCAACUGCCGG